rnacentral:rRNA from 1 species
AAUAGAUACCCUGGUAGUCCACGCCGUAAACGAUGAGUGCUAAGUGUUAGAGGGUUUCCGCCCUUUAGUGCUGCAGCUAACGCAUUAAGCACUCCGCCUGGGGAGUACGGUCGCAAGACUGAAACUCAAAGGAAUUGACGGGGGCCCGCACAAGCGGUGGAGCAUGUGGUUUAAUUCGAAGCAACGCGAAGAACCUUACCAGGUCUUGACAUCCUCUGACACUCCUAGAGAUAGGAUUUUCUCCUUCGGGGGACAGAGUGACAGGUGGUGCAUGGUUGUCGUCAGCUCGUGUCGUGAGAUGUUGGGUUAAGUCCCGCAACGAGUGCAACCCUUGAUCUUAGUUGCCAGCAUUUAGUUGGGCACUCUAAGGUGACUGCCGGUGACAAACCGGAGGAAGGUGGGGAUGACGUCAAAUCAUCAUGCCCCUUAUGACCUGGGCUACACACGUGCUACAAUGGAUGGUACAAAGGGCAGCGAAGCCGCGAGGUGGAGCCAAUCCCAUAAAACCAUUCUCAGUUCGGAUUG